AGUUUUCUGUAUCUGUGCUGAGACUUCGUCACAUGCCCGAUUACAAAGGCUGAUGAGACUUCCAAGAUAAGUGAAGCA
rfam:Schistosoma curassoni strain Dakar, Senegal genome assembly, scaffold: SCTD_scaffold0020483